CUCAGUCCUACUGAGACAAUCAUGGCAGAGCAGGGAGGAGGAGCCUCAAGAGGUUAUUUAAGAGAUGGGUGUGGUUAUCGGCCUCCCUUUGGUCCUUGAGCCUGCUCUGUCCAUGCUGCCACAGCACUUAAGUAGAAGUUUGUUUGACCACUGAAACCACAAAGAAGAUCUAGAGACUUAGAAUUGUUUGUCUACUUUAAAGGACACAUAUGAGAAGCUGAAGCAAUUCCUCACUCCUUGUGUAACAUAUUGGAUGCAUAAAUUAAUGGUUACUUCACUUCAGUGCAGGCCGUGCUGUUUGGGGCAACUCCCCCUCAACGAAGUGGUCCUGCAAGUGUUGCAGUUUCU